rnacentral:tRNA from 1 species
GCGCCAAUAGCUCAGCAGGAUAGAGCAACUGCCUUCUAAGCAGUAGGUCGUGGGUUCGAAUCCCUCUUGGCGUGCCA